UCUCUCAAUUCUACCGUCUCUUAUACAGAAGCCUGACCCACAAAAGUUCUGAAAGUUCACAGAGGCUGGAUAUCAACUGCGGGGCGGGGUGGAGCCAGGGCUUACCUGACAAUGCACAGCUAAGACUUCAUGACAGAACACUCAGAUGAAUACAGUCUCUAGUACAGAAGCCUGACCUACAAAAGUUCUGAAAGUUCACAGAGGCUGGAAAUCAAGGGCAGGGCGGGGUGGAGCCAGGGCAUACCUGGCAAUGCACAGCUAAGACUUCAUGACAGAACACUCAGAUGAAUACAGUACACAAGCCUGACCCACAAAAGUUCUGGAAGUUCACAGAGGCUGGAAAUCAACGGCAGGGCAGGGCGGGGUGGAGCCAGGGCAUACAUGACAAUGCACAGCUAAGACUUCGUGACAGAACACUCAGAUGAAUACAGUUGCAGCACCCAAGCUCCAUCCUCCCUUACGGAUUCUGAAGCUUACUGGACCGGCAGACAGCCUGUUAAUUGACCACUACCUAAAAAGUUUGACAAAUUGCAGUUGUGAGAGCAGAGUAAGAAUAUUUAUUGCAUUACCAUAUACAACAUGCAGUAUGGAAUCAUAGCAGCAAACGGGCAUUGUAAGUGCACAUCAUGCGUAUCCAAUAUACGUAAUUAAUAAAUAACUGGACUCGCUAUUGAAGAUGUUUCAGUACUCAUCCGAGCAGCCUCUUCUGUUCAACUGACUGGUGUGGGAGAAAGGGAUGGUCCUCAAACAACAGAUGCUUUCGACCCUUUUACUCCAGCUAUAGAUAUUCCCCAACCGUCCAAAAUACCAGACGGGGUAGACCCACCUGGCAACAGCAAGAAACCCAACACUGCAAAGAAGAGCUCGGCCUGACUCCACUCCACAGGCCAAACCACCAAGGAUAGGAGGCAGACUUCAAAAAAUCCUUGCGAACAUGGGAAGCACACGUGAAAGACACUUGGGUAUUGACCAUUCUGGGUCAGGGCUACAGAAUUCCCUUCUCAUCCCUUCCACCAAGAAGGUUCUUUGCAUCUUCCACUACCCCUCACAAGGAGACCUUACUCCAGCUGGCAGUAGACACACUUCUGACAAUAGGAGUGGUGGAGCAGGUCCCAGUAUCCCAGCGAUACAGGAGUUUCUACUCAAAUCUCUUUAAACCUUUAAACCCAAGGGUCCUGAACAAAAAAUUCCAGAUGUAGUCCCGUCAGUGAUUGCGGCCAUGGAAUCGGAAAUUUUCAUGAUCUCAAUAGACUUACAGUACGUGUACCUACAUAUACCCAUCUGCCUAAGUCCUCGAGUCUUUCUCAGAUGCAACAAUUUAUUUUUUGUGGAUGAAGAGUUAUCUUCUAUGAAAGAAAUGCUGUCUUCCAUCUCUGAAAUAGUCAUUUUAUGAGAAGCCUGACCCACAAAAGUUCUGAAAGUUCACAGAGGCUGGAUAUCAACUGCGGGGCGGGGUGGAGCCAGGGCUUACCUGACAAUGCACAGCUAAGACUUCAUGACAGAACACUCAGAUGAAUACAGUCUCUAGUACAGAAGCCUGACCUACAAAAGUUCUGAAAGUUCACAGAGGCUGGAAAUCAAGGGCAGGGCGGGGUGGAGCCAGGGCAUACCUGGCAAUGCACAGCUAAGACUUCAUGACAGAACACUCAGAUGAAUACAGUUGCACAGCAGCACCCGAGCUCUGUCCUCCCUUACGGAUUCUGAAGCUUACUGGACCGGCAGACAGCCUGUUAAUUGACCACUACCUAAAAAGUUUGACAAAUUGCAGUUGUGAGAGCAGAGUAAGAAUACUUAUUAUAAUCAGCACAGAAGCAGAAGUCAGUGGCUCAGCAGACAGCACAGACAGAAGCUGGAUACAAGACGAAGACACUUGGUUUGGAUUAGAAGCAUCAAUCAUACACUAAAAACAACAAGAAAACCACAAUAUUGGAGUAAUUGAAAAGCUCCUGAGAAAUUGCCAGCUCAAUGAAAAUACACACGAAUCAAUAUCCUAUACAGUAAGAUUUUUAUAACACUAGUAUUUCUCUGA